GGUCUCCGGUUGGUGAACCAGCGGAGGGAUCAUUA
rnacentral:rRNA from 1 species